UUGAUCACUCCCUUUCAUAGAGCAGGUUUGAAACACUCUUUUUGUAGUGUCUGGAAGUGGACAUUUGGAUUGCUUUCAGGCUUAAGGUGAAAAAGGAAAUAUCUUCCCACAAAAACUACACAGAAGCAUUCUCAGAAACUACUUUGUGAUGUGUUUACUCAACUUCAGAGUUGAACAUUUCUUUUGAUAGAGCAGUUUUGAAACACUCUUUUUGUAGAAUCUGCAAGAGGAUAUUUGGAGAGCUUUGAGGAUUUCUUGGAAACGGGACUAUCUUCAUAUAAAAUCUAGACAGAAGCAUUCUCAGAAGCAAAUUUGUGAUGUUUACCUUGAAGUCAGAGAGUUGUACAUUCCCUUUCAUAGAGCAGGUCUGAAACACUCUUUUUGUAGUAUGUGGAAAUGGACAUUU
rnacentral:lncRNA from 10 species